rnacentral:rRNA from 1 species
AGAAUCAACGCUGGCGGCGUGCCUAACACAUGCAAGUCGAACGAGAAAGUGGAGCAAUCCAUGAGUAAAGUGGCGCACGGGUGAGUAACACGUGACUAACCUACCUUUUAGUGGGGGAUAACCUAGGGAAACCUGGGCUAAUACCGCAUAAUACUUACGAGUCAAAGCAGCAAUGCGCUGAAAGAGGGGGUCGCGGUCGAUUAGUUAGUUGGCAGGGUAAUGGCCUACCAAGACUGUGAUCGAUAUCCGGCCUGAGAGGGCGCACGGACACACUGGAACUGAAACACGGUCCAGACUCCUACGGGAGGCAGCAGUGGGGAAUUUUGCGCAAUGGGGGAAACCCUGACGCAGCAACGCCGCGUGGAGGAUGAAGUCCCUUGGGACGUAAACUCCUUUCGAUCGGGACGAUAAUGACGGUACCGGAAGAAGAAGCCCGGCUAACUUCGCGCCAGCAGCCGC